rnacentral:sRNA from 13 species
UUUUGAAGGGAGUUAGGCGCUUUUGAAGUUGGAGGCGAGAGAGUGAGAGACAGCAGAGAAAACGGAGACAGUCGUUUUCCCUGCCGUCUCUCACUCUCUCAUCUCCAACUUUAAAGGCGCAUAACUCGCUUAAAAA